GUGAGACAGGUUUUGUCAGGGGAAAGGGAGGAGGGGUGAGACAGGUGUUGUCGGGGGAAAGGGAGGAGAGGUGAGACAGGUGUUGUCAGGGAAGAGGGAGGGGAGGUGAGACAGGUGUUGUCAGGGAAGAGGGAGGAGAGGUGAGACAGGUGUUGUCAGGGAAGAGGGAGGAGAGGUGAGACAGGUGUUGUCAGGGAAGAGGGAGGAGAGGUGAGACAGGUGUUGUCAGGGAAGAGGGAGGGGAGGUGAGAGAGGUGUUGUCAGGGAAGAGGGAGGGGAGGUGAGACAGGUGAUGUCAGGGAAGAGGGAGGACAGGUGAGACAGGUGUUGUCAGGGAAGAGGGAGGAGAGGUGAGACAGGUGUUGUCAGGGAAGAGGGCGGGGAGGUGAGACAGGUGUUGUCAGGGAAGAGGGAGGAGAGGUGAGACAGGUGUUGUCAGGGAAGAGGGAGGAGAGGUGAGACAGGUGUUGUCAGGGAAGAGGGAGGGGAGGUGAGACAGGUGUUGUCAGGGAAGAGGGAGGAGAGGUGAGACAGGUGUUGUCAGGGAAGAGGGAGGAGAGGUGAGACAGGUGUUGUCAGGGAAGAGGGAGGGGAGGUGAGACAGGUGUUUUCAGGGAAGAGGGAGGAGAGGUGAGACAGGUGUUGUCAGGGAAGAGGGAGGGGAGGUGAGACAAGUGUUGUCAGGGACAGGGAGGAGAGGUGAGACAGGUGUUGUCAGGGAAGAGGGAGGGGAGGUGAGACAGGUGUUAUCAGGGAAGAGGGAGGAGAGGUGAGACAGGUGUUGUCAGGGAAGAGGGAGGGGAGGUGAGACAGGUGUUGUCAGGGAAGAGGGAGGGGAGGUGAGACAGGUGUUGUCAGGGAAGAGGGAGGAGAGGUGAGACAGGUGUUGUCAGGGAAGAGGGAGGGGAGGUGAGACAGGUAUUGUCAGGGAAGAGGGAGGAGAGGUGAAUAAAGGACUACAGGACUAAAGUAGCAUUGCACACUGUAUAGACAUGUGGUAUCUGUGACUCCAGGGUUGUAGGCCUAGCUUUAAGAGCAGCAGUGGCAGGUGAGCUAGACCUGAAAUGAAUAAAAACCAGCUCACUAAAGUCUGACAUCAGAGCUUCUCAAACACAGUCAAACUGUGUCUCUACUUCUAUAGUAAACUAACUUUACUGGUUCACCAGAAAACUGCAGUCUUAUAAAUGUAGGAGGGAAAGCGGAAAUGUUUGGUACUGA